rnacentral:rRNA from 1 species
GUGCCAGCAGCCGCGGUAAUACGUAGGUGGCAAGCGUUGUCCGGAUUUACUGGGCGUAAAGGAUGCGUAGGCGGAUAUUUAAGUCAGAUGUGAAAUACCCGGGCUCAACUUGGGUGCUGCAUUUGAAACUGGAUAUCUAGAGUGCGGGAGAGGUAAGUGGAAUUCCUAGUGUAGCGGUGAAAUGCGUAGAGAUUAGGAAGAACACCAGUGGCGAAGGCGACUUACUGGACCGUAACUGACGCUGAGGCAUGAAAGCGUGGGGAGCAAACAGGAUUAGAAACCCGUGUAGUCCA